rnacentral:lncRNA from 1 species
UGGUCCACCCAUCACAGUAACCUACCUCCAUUCCGUGGAUGCAAUUGGACGAUAUCAAAUCCCAUGUUGGAUGACACACCACACUACCCCUUAUAUUUCACCAAUUCUUGAUUGCAUCAAAUACCAUCAUGGCUAGGGUUUUCUUUUCCCCUCCCUUUCCUUCUUUGCACCGCCACUAUUCCAGAGACAAUGUCGAGGCUGAGUUCGACCACAAGGGCUUAUUGGAGGUGAAGGAACUAGAGGUCCAGAGAUGAAGAAGAAUGUGGGGCG